rnacentral:tRNA from 1 species
CGGAGUGUAGCUCAGUCUGGCCAGAGCUUUCCGUUUGGGGCGGAAAGGCCAUCGGUUCGAAUCCGAUCUCUCCGACCA